rnacentral:rRNA from 1 species
AGUGAACGCUGGCGGUAGGCCUAACACAUGCAAGUCGAACGGCAGCACAGUAAGAGCUUGCUCUUACGGGUGGCGAGUGGCGGACGGGUGCGGAAUACAUCGGAAUCUACUUUUUCGUGGGGGAUAACGUAGGGAAACUUACGCUAAUACCGCAUACGACCUACGGGUGAAAGCAGGGGAUCUUCGGACCUUGCGCGAUUGAAUGAGCCGAUGUCGGAUUAGCUAGUUGGCGGGGUAAAGGCCCACCAAGGCGACGAUCCGUAGCUGGUCUGAGAGGAUGAUCAGCCACACUGGAACUGAGACACGGUCCAGACUCCUACGGGAGGCAGCAGUGGGGAAUAUUGGACAAUGGGAGCAAGCCUGAUCCAGCCAUACCGCGUGGGUGAAGAAGGCCUUCGGGUUGUAAAGCCCUUUUGUUGGGAAAGAAAAGCAGCAGGUUAAUACCCCGCUGUUCUGACGGUACCCAAAGAAUAAGCACCGGCUAACUUCGUG